rnacentral:rRNA from 1 species
CAGGGAUUGCCUCAGUAACGGCGAGUGAAGCGGCAACAGCUCAAAUUUGAAAUCUUGGCCUUCUGGCCCGAGUUGUAAUUUGCAGAGGAUGUUUCUUGGCGAGGUGCCUUCCGAGUUCCCUGGAACGGGACGCCAUAGAGGGUGAGAGCCCCGUACGGUUGGUCGCUAAGCCUCUGUGAAACUCCUUCGACGAGUCGAGUAGUUUGGGAAUGCUGCUCUAAAUGGGAGGUAUACGUCUUCUAAAGCUAAAUACCGGCCAGAGACCGAUAGCGCACAAGUAGAGUGAUCGAAAGAUGAAAAGCACUUUGAAAAGAGGGUUAAAUAGUACGUGAAAUUGUUGAAAGGGAAGCGCUCAUGACCAGACUUGGGCCGGUUGAUCAUCCAUCGUUCUCGGUGGUGCACUCUGCCGGCUCAGGCCAGCAUCAGCUCGUUCCGGGGGAUAAAGGCUUUGGGAAUGUGGCUCCCUACGGGGAGUGUUAUAGCCCACUGCGUAAUACCUGGGGCGGGCUGAGGUUCGCGCUCCGCAAGGAUGCUGGCGUAAUGGUUAUCAGUGACCCGUCUUGAAACACGGACCAAGGAGUCGUCUUCGUAUGCGAGUGUUCGGGUGUCAAACCCCUACGCGUAAUGAAAGUGAACGUAGGAGAGAGCUUCGGCGCAUCUCCGACCGAUCCUGAUGUUCUCGGAUGGAUUUGAGUAAGAGCAUACGGGGCCGGACCCGAAAGAAGGUGAACUAUGCUUGUAUAGGGUGAAGCCAGGGGAAA